GCUCUGGGUGAUAACCGGCCUGGUCAGAGGCAUUUUUCGGAAGCUAAGCAGGGUCGGGCUCGGUUAGUACUUGGAUGGGAGACCGCCUGGGAAUNCCGGGUGCUGUAGGCU
rnacentral:rRNA from 1 species